rnacentral:rRNA from 1 species
ACGGACGCUGGCGGCGUGCUUAACACAUGCAAGUCGAACGGAAAGGCCCUGCUUGCAGGGUACUCGAGUGGCGAACGGGUGAGUAACACGUGGGUGAUCUGCCCUGCACUUCGGGAUAAGCUUGGGAAACUGGGUCUAAUACCGGAUAGGAACCAUCUUUAGUGUGGUGGUUGGAAAGUUUUUUCGGUGUAGGAUGAGCUCGCGGCCUAUCAGCUUGUUGGUGGGGUAAUGGCCUACCAAGGCGGCGACGGGUAGCCGGCCUGAGAGGGUGUACGGCCACAUUGGGACUGAGAUACGGCCCAGACUCCUACGGGAGGCAGCAGUGGGGAAUAUUGCACAAUGGGCGCAAGCCUGAUGCAGCGACGCCGCGUGGGGGAUGAAGGCCUUCGGGUUGUAAACUCCUUUCGCUAGGGACGAAGCUUUGUUGUGACGGUACCUAGAUAAGAAGCACCGGCUAACUACGUG